AAUUACAUAGGACUAACGCCCUUAUAAGGGAGAUAGAUUUCAUAUAGGUGCACACCCUAUUUCUACAAUAAAUCUACUGCAGCCAACAUAUACCGUAAGGACCUGAAUGGCUAGGGACCAAGUGUAUAUACAGUCAAACUACAGUAAUCUCAUUAUGAAUAGCUGAGGCACCGCAAGUUAAAGAACCAGUCACACUACUGCAAUAUUGAGUAAGUCACUGACAAGUGAGUAGACAUAUAAGUGACUUCUCGCGUUGGUCACGCCCGGUACCCUUGUUCUCUGACAACCACCUACAUAUUUAUUUCAGUAUCCCCACAUUGUUGACUUGAGACUCGUCUACCAAAAAUGAGAAGUGACUUGUGCACCAAUCUUAACAGAUCAAUCACCGUCCUCGUGAUAAUUCAUUGACCACCAAUGACACAUGUCUCACAUUCUCAACUUUUGAGAAUACGUGUCAUCAUCUUAUUAAUUUCUUGAACGAUUUAUGGACACAUACAACAACAUGAAUGGAAAUAACGCAAAUUCAGUUAUAAUAUUUGAAACCAAAUACAAAUUUAUAUUCUAAAAAGAAUACAUGUGUCGGUCUGGUUGGCUUCUAGGGCAUACAUCUAACAGCCCUCAAUUCGCUACUAUGUGUCAGUUUUGUCUUUAACAAAGGAUUAUAACUGUUUUCUCGAGAACUUAAAAUAUCUUUUUUGAAUUUUAGUAUUAAAUAAUAUCUAACAAACUCUUGAACGAAAGAAAAACUACUAUGUGGCACCGGAUCAAAGGUUCCUUAACAAGAUAUCGUUGGUAAGCUCUCCACUGAAGUUUU
rnacentral:lncRNA from 1 species